rnacentral:rRNA from 1 species
UACGUAGGGUGCAAGCGUUGUCCGGAAUUAUUUGGCGUAAAGAGCUCGUAGGCGGUUUGUCGCGUCUGCUGUGAAAACUCAGGGCUUAACCCUGAGCCUGCAGUGGGUACGGGCAGACUAGAGUGUGGUAGGGGAGAUCGGAAUUCCUGGUGUAGAGGUGAAAUUCGUAGAUAUCGGGAGGAAUACCAGUGGCGAAGGCGGCGACCUGGGCCAAUACUGACGCUGAGGUGCGAAAGCGUGGGGAGCAAACAGG